GGGGUGAAAGGCCAAUCAAACUUGGAGAUAGCUCGUACUCCCCGAAAUAUAUUUAGGUAUAGCGUUUGAUUUUGUCUGCCUGGAGGUAGAGCACUGAUUAGGCUAGGGCCCUUCACCGGGUACCAACCCUAGACAAACUCCGAAUACCAGCGCAGAGCCAUCAAGCAGUCAGUGGCAGGGUGAUAACGUCCUGUCGCGAGAGGGGAACAACCCAGACCACCAGCUAAGGUCCCUAAAUUCCGACUAAGUUGAUCAAAGAAAGUUGAGUUGCUUAGACAACUAGGAGGUUGGCUUAGAAGCAGCCAUCCUUUAAAGAAAGCGUAAUAGCUCACUAGUCGAGUCGGCCUGCGCGGAAGAUGUAACGGGGCUCAAACUGGUUACCGAAGCUGCGGCUGUGCACGCAAGUGCACGGGGUAGGGGAGCGUUCUGUAAGCCUGCGAAGGUGUGUCGAGAGGCAUGCUGGAGGUAUCAGAAGUGCGAAUGCUGACAUGAGUAACGACAAUGGGGGUGAAAAACCCCCACGCCGGAAGACCAAGGGUUCCUGCGCAACGCUAAUCGGCGCAGGGUGAGUCGGCCCCUAAGGCGAGACCGAAAGGUGUAGUCGAUGGGAAACGGAUUAAUAUUUCCGUACCUUGGAUAGCUGCGAUGGAGAGACGGAGAAGGCUAGGUGAGCCGGGCGACGGUUGUCCCGGUUUAAGCAUGUAGGCAGUGGGAUUAGGCAAAUCCGGUCCCACAAUGCCGAGACGCGACGACGACUGCCCUUUUAGGGCGGGAAGUCAUUGAUGCCCUGCUUCCAGGAAAAUCUUCUAAGCUUCAGGCUAUUCGAGACCGUACCCCAAACCGACACAGGUGGUCAGGUAGAGAAUACCAAGGCGCUUGAGAGAACUCGGGUAAAGGAACUAGGCAAAAUGGUGCCGUAACUUCGGGAGAAGGCACGCCGGUGGUAUGUGACGCCCUUCGCGGGUUGAGCAGAAGCCGGUCGAAGAUACCAGGCCCCUGCGACUGUUUAUUAAAAACACAGCACUGUGCAAACACGAAAGUGGACGUAUACGGUGUGACGCCUGCCCGGUGCCGGAAGGUUAAUUGAUGGGGUUAGCGCUUGCGCGAAGCUCUUGAUCGAAGCCCCGGUAAACGGCGGCCGUAACAAUAACGGUCCUAAGGUAGCGAAA
rnacentral:rRNA from 1 species